rnacentral:rRNA from 1 species
UACGGGAGGCAGCAGUGAGGAAUAUUGGUCAAUGGGCGCGAGCCCGAACCAGCCAAGUAGCGUGCAGGACGACGGCCCUAUGGGUUGUAAACUGCUUUUAUGCGGGGAUAAAGUGAGGGACGUGUCCCUUAUUGCAGGUACCGCAUGAAUAAGGACCGGCUAAUUCCGUGCCAGCAGCCGCGGUAAU